rnacentral:rRNA from 1 species
AUAAGCAAUUAUACAGCGAAACUGCGAAUGGCUCAUUAUAUAAGUUAUCGUUUAUUUGAUAGUACCUUACUACUUGGAUAACCGUGGUAAUUCUAGAGCUAAUACAUGCUAAAAAUCCCGACUUUGGAAGGGAUGUAUUUAUUAGAUUAAAAACCAAUGCCCUCCGGGGCUCCUUGGUGAUUCAAGAUAACUCCUCGAAUCGCAUGGCCUUGCGCCGGCGAUGGUUCAUUCAAAUUUCUUCCCUAUCAACUUUCGAUGUUUGGGUAUUGGCCAAACAUGGUUGCAACGGGUAACGGAGGGUUAGGGCUCGACCCCGGAGAAGGAGCCUGAGAAACGGCUACUACAUCCAAGGAAGGCAGCAGGCGCGCAAAUUACCCAAUCCCGACACGGGGAGGUAGUGACAAUAAAUACUGAUACAGGGCUCUUUUGGGUCUUGUAAUUGGAAUGAGUACAAUUUAAAUCCCUUAACGAGGAACAAUUGGAGGGCAAGUCUGGUGCCAGCAGCCGCGGUAAUUCCAGCU